CAGCCGCCGCGGUAAUACGUAGGGUGCGAGCGUUAAUCGGAAUUACUGGGCGUAAAGGGUGCGUAGGCGGUUUGGCAAGUCUUAUGUGAAAUCUUCAGGCUCAACCUGAAGUCUGCAUGAGAAACUGCCGGGCUUGAGUAUUGGAGAGGUGAGUGGAAUUUCCGGUGUAGCGGUGAAAUGCGUAGAUAUCGGAAGGAACACCUGUGGCGAAAGCGGCUCACUGGACAAUAACUGACGCUGAGGCACGAAAGCUAGGGGAGCAAACAGGAUUAGAUACCCGCGUAGUCCCUGUCUCUUAUAC
rnacentral:rRNA from 1 species